GGUCUAUUGGCUCAAUGGUAGAGUGCUUGACUACGAGUAAUGGUCGAUCAAGAGGCUGCAGGUUCGAGCCCUGCAUAGAUCA